rnacentral:rRNA from 1 species
AUUGAACGCUGGCGGCAGGCCUAACACAUGCAAGUCGAGCGAGCGGCGGACGGGUGAGUAAUGUAUGGGGACUGCCCGUUGGAGGGGGAUAACUACUGGAAACGGUAGCUAAUACCGCAUACUAUCGGAUAACCCAUAUGGGAUUAGCUAGUAGGUGAGGUAAUGGCUCACCUAGGCGACGAGCCCUAGCUGGUCUGAGAGGAUGAUCAGCCACAUUGGGACUGAGACACGGCCCAGACUCCUACGGAGGCAGCAGUGGGGAAUAUUGCACAAUGGGCGAAAGCCUGAUGCAGCCAUGCCGCGUGUAUGAAGAAGGCCCUAGGGUUGUAAAGUACUGUCAGUCGGGAGGCGGUACCGACAGAAGAAGCACCGGCUAACUACGUGCCAGCAGCCGCGGUAAUUC